rnacentral:rRNA from 1 species
ACUGAAUGCUGUCGGCAGGCUUAACACAUGCAAGUCGAACGAGUGGCGGACGGGUGAGUAAUGUAUGGGGAUCUGACUGAUGGAGGGGGAUAACUCCUGGAAACGGUAGCUAAUACCGCAUACCAUCAGAUGAACCCAUAUGGGAUUAGCUUGUAGGUGAGGUAACGGCUCACCUAGGCGACGAUCCCUAGCUGGUGUGAGAGGAUGAUAAGCCCCACUGGGACUGAGACACGGCCCAGACUCCUACGGGAGGCAGCAGUGGGGAAUAUUGCGCAGUGGGCGCAGGCCUGAUGCAGCCAUGCCGCGUGUAUGAAGAAGGCCUGCGGGUUGUAGAGUACUUUCAGUCGGGAGGCGUUACCGACAGAAGAAGCACCGGCUAACUCCGUGCCAGCAGCCGCGGUAAUAC